UUCCAGUUGUGGCGCUGUAGUUCUGCCACCGUAAAAGCCUGAGAAGGAGGAGUGUAGCCUACCGCAGAACAGGAGACGUUUUACUUUACCACACCUCGACUCGUGAGCUGACCGUUUUAAAGAUAUCAUGUUCGUUUGAGAGAGAAAGCGGAUUCCACACUGAUGUUACGUCAGGGCCGGUCCAGGAUAAGAUGAGGUCGAAAGGACCCAGUGCCAACGGCUGCAGGAGCAUGUUAUAGCUGCUGCCUACCAAGCAUGGAGAACCAUUUCCAUCCUCCUCUAUGCGCCCCUCUCAUCCCAAAUCAAAAGCAGUCACUGCAGCGUAACCUGUUUCUAAUGGAGCACUUGGCAAACCUGAGAGCGGACCUAAUAGAGAGCAGAGAGGCUCUUCCUGACGUCUGCAGGAUCCAUUUAGCCAAACAGGACGAUGCCCUUUCUGUGGUCACCACAAGAAUCGCCCUGCUCAGAGGAGGAUGGACUGAUGUUUUUGAUGCUUUUUAAAGAAAAGUAUUUGUCUUUCUGAUGGACUUUGGACUUCCACUGUAUUUCAGCCAACAACGUUUCUGUGUCACGGCCAGCAAGCGUGUGUGAGAGGGCCGGUGAGAGUGUUUAGCAAAAUUUGUUGACUAACAUGGCUGAUUCCAUUUCAGGAAGUGAAGAUUAUGUUCUCAAGGAUCACCUGAAUGUUGUAAACCAUUGACCUACUGCCAAACAAAUAGUAUCCAAAAUAUCUUGCGUAUCUGUCUAAUGAAUGAGGAUGCACCUUUAUUUUCCCACAGUGCAUAGUUAAAGGUGUCUUUGUGUGUGUUUAUAAGUGCAAAAUGCUAUGUGAUUUUGUUGCUGUUUAGAUGCCAGUACUGAGUAGUGUUAUUUUGAUUGUACCAGUUGCUAUAGAGCCCCAUUUGGACUGCUACCCAGUUGCCAUAGAACCCCAUUUGGACUGCUACCCAGUUGCCAUAGAACCCCAUUUGGACUGCUACCCAGUUGCCAUAGAACCCCAUUUGGACUGCUACCCAGUUGCCAUAGAACCCCAUUUGGACUGCUACCCAGUUGCCAUAGAACCCCAUUUGGACUGCUACCCAGUUGCCAUAGAACCCCAUUUGGACUGCUACCCAGUUGCAAGCAUACAGGUAACUGCCAAAAUAAAGGAAACCCCAACAUGGUGUCUUAAUAGGGCAUUGGGCACCACGAGCCAGAACCGCUUCAAUGCACCUUGGCAUAGAUUCUACAAGUAUCUGGAACGCUUGGAGGGAUGCUACACCAUUUUUUUCCACCAGAAAUUCCAUCAUUUGGUGUUUUGUUGAUGGUGGUGGAAAACGCUGUCUCAGGCUCCGCUCCAGAAUCUCCUAUAAGUGUUCAAUAAGGUUGAGAUCUGGUGACUGAGACGGCCGUGGCAUAUGGCUUACAUCCUUUUCAUGCUCAUCAAACCAUUGUGACCACUUGUGCCCAGUGGAUGGGUCAUUGUAAUCCUGGAAGAGACCACUCCCAUCAGGGUAGAUCUGUUUCACCCUACAGUAGGUAGAAGGUGAUCACUCAGAAUGGCUGUGUAUUUAUUGGAGUUUACCUUGUCCUCCAUGGGGUUGAGUGGACCUAAACCAUGCCAGGAAAAUGCACCUCCACACCAUAACAGAGCUGCCAAUAAGUACCCUCAUUUACUCAAGUGUUUCCUUUUAUUUUAGCAGGUCCCUGUAGCUGGUCACUGUGAUACACAAUUUACUAGCACCUACUCUGAAAAACCCAAACUAUUAGUCAGCGGGAAGAGUCUGUUAGUAACACGGGUUGUUGUUGAAAUUCGAAACACCCUGACCAUUACGGGGCUUUCCAGUGAUCUAUCCUGGAAUUAUGCCACUCAUUAAAUCAACUGCAUCGAAGGAACAUUCCAGAAGGUAGUUUGUUCUCUUGUCGAGGGGGAUGUCCACCCCCUUGAUCAGAAUGGAACAUUUCAACCAUUUCACUGUGCAUUCCCCUUGUAAUUUCUAUAUGGCCUCCCACUUGAGCUUGUUGUAGGUGACGUGCCCUCCAAGCUGGCUUGUGACCCACAUGACAUCCACACGAUAGUGACAUACAUUCUGAAACCAGGUGGCAGUUUUAAACAUCUGAUUUAAAUCAUACAGUAGAAAUGAAAGUUUGUUUCCUGUACACAACUGUAUUUCUGACGUGCUUAGUAUACACAAUCUGUGAAUAACUCGUCACGCUCUGUCGUUUUUUUGCUAAGUGUGUCCAUACGGGGAAAAACUCACUGUUUGAAUUGGAAUGUUUUUUUAAUAUUGUAUCUUAUGUGAUUUAGCUAGGCCAGUAUCCUAUGUGAUUUAGCUAGGCCAGUAUCCUAUACCAGAACAUAUGGCGUAUGGAUGGUGUAGAACAUGUACAGUAUGUUGUCCCUUUCACUAAUACCGUAUGUGUUUUAUACACUGGGCCUAAUGUUUACUUAAUGCUGAAGGGUGACUUUGCAUAUUGCUUGGUGGCUUUCCUAUCUUUGUUAGAGCAUGUAAUCCUGGGUAAAUUCUCAGCCCAACAGAAUGACUGCUGCCUUGAAGUUUCUUGAACAGUGUACAUUGGGAACGUCAGUCAUUUGAGUCUGUUGGCAUUUUAAGUUUCUAUCCCAUCUUUAUCAUGAUUGUUGUUAGACCAAAGCUUGAGUUCAUUAGAAAUGAUUUGUGCAACCUCUUGAUUCUUCCUGGAAAUACAGUUCACAUUCUGAAUAGAAUUCUAGGGGAGUAAUCUCUUCUGAUGUUGAAUGUUAUCACCAAAUGUGUUACUCAAUUUUCACUGCCUGGUACAGAAAUAAUAGAAUUUCAACCAACUGGUUCCAGUGGCCCCUAUGGGCUCUGCUGUGAACAUUUCUGGGAGAUUGUAUCAUUUUCAUUGAAGUUAAAGUGGGAAUCUAUAGUUGCUACAUCCAUUUUGGGAUUUAUAAAUGAUAUAUACCCAUUGAUUCUUGAAUAUCUUAUAAAUGCCUUAGUUCAACUAUAUUGUUGAUAUCAUGGAUGUUCAGUCCUUGCAUUAAUAGCUCUGAGUUUGAGAGCGGUUACAUUUCUCCAGGCCCAUCCUUCAGCGUUUUACCAAAACACAGGCAGGGUGACUGCUUUGUUAUUGUUUCAAUUAAGGAUUCUAGCUUUAAUCUCAAACUAUUUCAACAAACACAUCUCACUGAAUCCAUCUGGUAUAGCACAAAUAUUGCAAUCUAAACAAAUGCCCUAAAAUAAAUGGAAUGUACACUAUAGUCUGUGUAUGUCUCUCUUUUAAAAACAUGCAUAACAAAGAUGUUAAAUGAUGCAACUAACAAUGCAAAUAGUUGGUAUGGAAAUCUUGUUCUAAGAGCAGCCCAGGGUUGAGUGAAUAGAUGGGUGCAAGGAUCAUGUUCCAGCAGCAAAACCCACUGGAACAGAAGAUUACAAUUUAACGGGAGUAGACUCCAUGAACUGUCUAACCAUGUGAAAUACAGUCCUAAGAAGAGGACGGGUGUAGUCUACGGGGUGUCUAGUCGAGGACGGGUGUAGUCUACGGGGUGUCUAGUCGAGGACGGGGGAAGUCUACGGGGUGUCUAGUCGAGGACUUUGUGAAGGCUACGGGGUGUCUAGUCGAGGACGUUGUGAAGUCUACGGGGUGUCUAGUCGAGGACGGGUGAAGGCUACGGGGUGUCUAGUCGAGGACGGGUGAAGGCUACGGGGUGUCUAGUCGAGGACGGGUGAAGGCUAC
rnacentral:lncRNA from 1 species